GAGUUUCGUGCCCGGGGCUCCGUGACUCGCUGCUUUUCAACGAGGGUUUUAGAUCAUCCUCACCUCGUGGUCAGACUGACCUCUCCCCACCCUCUAUAAUUCUGUUCUCCAGCUUCAGAAACGUCUUUUGCUGUCAGGGGCUAUCCCAACACAUCCAACGAGACUGGCUCAAUUCUGGCACCGAGGGCAAGUGGCUUGUCCCACUAUUGCUGCUUCUCCCUACCUAGAAGCCUUCCAGCUGGCAUGGGCAUCAUGGCCAUGUCUUGCACAGUGCUGUGGCACUGCUUAGAAGACUGCUGCUUGCUGGAAAAGGCCGAGGUUGUACAGGGAGUGGGAUAACAAUGAAACAGGCAAAUCAAAUUCAAUCUAACAUUUGAGUCCAUACACUGUUCAUGUUCACUUUUGCUAGUAUUGACUUCCCAAGUGCCCUCAGACUGGAACUGAGCUUUGGCCAAAGAAUUUGGCGCUAGCUUAUAGAAACUUAUUCUGGUUUUGAUCUCUGAUAUUUUACUUAAAAGUAUUAGGGCUUUUUACUGUUAAAGUACCUAUAGAUGUGCAUAAUCUAUAUCUGUCUAUUAUUAUUUCAUGUUGUCCCUAGCUCAUUUAUGCACUUCCCUUUUCUGAUUCAGAAUAAAGGAGCACAAGGAUCAAGCAGAUCUGGCUAAGCUGGAAAAGAGAAGAGAAGGGGAACGAAUACAGCAAUCAAGCCAAUUGUACCAACUGGAAAUUCAGAGAGAUAAAGAGAAGGAUCAGGAGAAAAAAGUUGAAUUCCAAAGGCACCAUCAUGAAUAUGUAGCUGAACAGAAAAUAUUUAAAGCUGAAGAGAAACAAAAAGAAGACAAAGAUGAUGAUCGGAUUAAGGCUUAUAUUAAGGAAAAAGAAAUGAUGGCUGAUCUGACAAGAGAAAAAAAUGCAGAGACUAACAGGAUGAUAGAGAAGCAUAAAGACAAAGCUUUUGAACAAUUAAAUGCACAGAUGAAUGAGAAAUUUAAGAUUGAAGAUGAUCGUCUUGCUAGAGGAGCUGCAGAGGUAGAACUUGAGUACCAAAUAAAAAAUAAAGAGAAAGAAAUGAAAAAAAAGGCUGUCCUUGAAUCCAUUGAAGAAAACAGAGUCACUGUGAUGAAGUUGAAAGAGGAAAAGGAGAGACAGGAGAAAGAAGAGGAUGAGAAGGAUCGUAAUCAGUGGAUGACAGAAAAUGACGUCUACUUGGAAAUGGAAAAAGCCAAGAAACAAAGACAGCGUGAUGCAAACAUGGAAAUACAGAAAUUUCAGCUCCAGCAAAUGGCUGAAAAGCAGGCAAGAAAAGAGCAGGAAAAGCAAGCAGAAUUGGACUACAAUGCUCAGAGAGAGGCUGCUUUCCAUGGGGAUCGAGCAUUUCGGAGAUAAAGGCAUGCUCAUUUUAUUACAUCAAGCUUUUUUUCAGCAAGCAGAAAGAAUGGAAACUUUUCUAAAAGCCUUUUGAUGGCAGAAGCUGGAGCCUUAAGAAGUAUUGACUACAGCAGGAGUGGUGCUGAAACCUGCAGAGCUCAGUAAUGCUCCAAAUGAAUCCCUAAGUGCAAAUUUGCACAUGCUCACUACUAUGCAAUUG
ensembl:lncRNA